rnacentral:hammerhead_ribozyme from 1 species
AUGGCUGACGAGUCCCAAAUAGAACGAAAUGCACAUCUUGAAU